UAACUUGUCUAGACAAGUUAUNCACCUGUUCCCAUGCCGAACACAGAAGUUAAGCUCCUUAGCGUCGAUGGUAGUCGAACUUACGUUCCGCUAGAGUAGAACGUUGCCAGGCA
rnacentral:rRNA from 1 species